rnacentral:rRNA from 1 species
GUCUACAGCCGUGCCACCCUGAACAUGCCCCAUCUCAUCUGAUCUCAGAAGCCAAGCAGGGUUGGGCCUGGUUAGUACUUGGAUGGGAGACCACCUUGGAAUACUAGGUGCUGUAGGCA